GAUGAACGCUAGCGGCAGGCUUAAUACAUGCAAGUCGAGGGGUAGCAAGAUUGUAGCAAUACAAUUGUUGACGACCGGCAAACGGGUGCGGAACACGUACACAACCUUCCUACAAGUGGGGAAUAGCCCAGAGAAAUUUGGAUUAAUACCCCGUAACAUAGCGAUGUGGCAUCACAUUGCUAUUAUAGCUUCGGCGCUUGUUGAUGGGUGUGCGGCUGAUUAGAUAGUUGGCGGGGUAACGGCCAACCAAGUCUACGAUCAGUAGCUGAUGUGAGCGCAUGAUCAGCCACACGGGCACUGAGACACAGGCCCGACUCCUACGGGAGGCAGCAGUAAGGUAUAUUGGACAAUGGACGCAAGUCUGAUCCAGCCAUGCCGCGUGAAGGAUUAAGGUCCUCUGGAUUGUAAACUUCUUUUAUAAGGGACGAAAAAAGGUCUUUCUAGAUCGUCUGACGGUACCUUAUGAAUAAGCACCGGCUAACUCCGUGCCAGCAGCCGCGGUAAGAC
rnacentral:rRNA from 1 species